CUUCACCGAGCCGAGCCACAGCGGGUCACCCGCACGGUUCUGCCCGUACGUGGCGAGCAGCGCCUGGGCCUC
rnacentral:antisense_RNA from 1 species